rnacentral:rRNA from 1 species
GGGGAGGUAGUGACGAUCAAUAACGAUGCGGGACUCUGACGAGGCUCCGUAAUCGGAAUGGGCGUAGUUUAAAUCCUUCGACGAGGAUCAAGUGGAGGGCAAGUCUGGUGCCAGCAGCCGCGGUAAUUCCAGCUCCACUAGCGUAUAUUAAAGUUGCUGCAGUUAAAAAGCUCGUAGUCGGAUUUUGGGAUUGUGCCUUUUGCUCGUGGCGUCUUCUGCGGUUCGCGCCGUUGGGAGUCGUUGCGGGUCGUUGGCCCUGCCGGCGAGGUCCCCGCCUGAUGGCGGGGCUCCACCUUGCUCGUGCAGCCCUCCGUCGCGUUUGGGCGGGUGUCCUUAACUGGAUGCCUGUUUUUUAAACGUGGCCCGUUUACCUUGAACAAAUCGGAGUGCUCAAAGCAGGCUCUACGUCGCUCGAACGGUAGCGCAUGGAAUAAUGGAAGAGGACCGGCUUCCGCUUCUGUUGGUCUCACGGAGGCAGGUAAUGAUCAAGAGGGACGGACGGGGGCAGAGGUAUGUCUUGGCGAGAGGUGAAAUUCUUGGACCCUAGACAGACCCUCGAGAGCGAAAGCAUCUGCCAAGGAUGUUUCCAUUGAUCAAGAACGAAAGUCGCGGGAUCGAACGGGAUUAGAUACCCCGGUAGUCGCGACCGUAAACGAUGCCAACCGGGAAUUUGGCGGCGUUACUUCCAUGACCCGUCAAGCGCCCGACCCGGGAAACCGAGAGUCUUUGGGUUCCGGGGGGAGUAUGGUUGCAAAGCUGAAACUUAAAGGAAUUGACGGAAGGGCACCACCAGGAGUGGAGCCUGCGGCUUAAUUUGACUCAACACGGGGAACCUCACCCGGCCCGGACACCGCGAGGAUUGACAGACUGAGAGCUCUUUCUCGAUUCGGUGGGUGGUGGUGCAUGGCCGUUCUUAGUUGGUGGAGCGAUCUGUCUGGUUAAUUCCGAUAACGAACGAGACCCCAACCUGCUAACUAGCCCUCGGGUCCGGCUUCUGGCGGGCCCGACGGAAUGAUUCGCUUCUUAGAGGGACUCGCGGCGCCUAGCCGCACGAAGGGGGGCGAUAACAGGUCUGUGAUGCCCUUAGAUGUUCGGGGCUGCACGCGCGCUACACUGAAGGCAUCAGCGUGCGCUUUGUCCGUUCCCUGCCUGAAAAGGCUGGGUAACCCGCUGAACCGCCUUCGUGCCUGGGAUAGGGAUUUGCAAUUAUCUCCCUUGAACGAGGAAUUCCCAGUAGGCGCGAGUCAUCAGCUCGCGUCGAUUACGUCCCUGCCCUUUGUACACACCGCCCGUCGCUACUACCGAUCGAACGAUGUAGUGAGGUCCUCGGACUGGCGACUACUCGGAAGCCCGCCUCGGCGUGGUAGAAGAGCAUUGUUGACCG